CCGAGUUAUUCUACUCCCAAACCCCUGUGAACUUAUACCUUUACUGUUGCUUCGGCGGGCGCCUGGUUCCGGCGGGGGACCCAAACUCUUGUAUCUUUUUUAUAGCAUGUCUGAGUGGAAUCAUAAACAAAUGAAUCA
rnacentral:misc_RNA from 1 species